rnacentral:snRNA from 1 species
UCUUCAGUGCAAGGGCAUUAAGUAUUACAGUGAGGAUUCGUCCGAGUAUACUUUUUUGCUAGUUGAAAACUACAACUACUUGACCACUCCAUCUUGGUCUUGUAUCGAGAUGGGAAUUUUUGAAGAAUUACCUCCAUU